CUCGGGGGGGGGGGGUCCCUCAGCCGGGGUGUGAGAGGGCGCAGGCCAGGCCAAGGGACCCCACUGGUGCAUG
rnacentral:pre_miRNA from 1 species